rnacentral:rRNA from 1 species
AUUGAACGCUGGCGGCAGGCCUAACACAUGCAAGUCGAGCGAGCGGCGGACGGGUGAGUAAUGUCUGGGAAACUGCAUGAUGGAGGGGGAUAACUACUGGAAACGGUAGCUAAUACCGCAUACCAUCAGAUGUGCCCCGAUGGGAUAGGCUCGUAGGGGGGGUAACGGCUAACCGAGGCGACGAUCCCUAGCGGGGCUGAGAGGAUGACCAGCCAAACUGGAACGAGGACAGGGUCCAGCGUCCUAGGGGAGGCAGAGGUGGGGAAUAUUGCACAAUGGGGGCAAGCCUGAUGCAGCCAUGCCGGGUGUGUGAAGAAGGCCUUCGGUUUGUAAAGCACUUUCAGCGGGGAGGCUUUACCCGCAGAAGAAGCACCGGCUAACUCCGUGCCAGCAGCCGCGGUAUUC